AUCCGGAGGGUGCGAGCGUUAAUCGGAAUUACUGGGCGUAAAGCGUACGUAGGCGGUUGGUUAAGUUAGAUGUGAAAGCCCCGGGCUUAACCUGGGAACUGCAUUUAAAACUGGCGAACUAGAGUUGAGUAGAGGGGAGUGGAAUUUCAGGUGUAGCGGUGAAAUGCGUAGAGAUCUGAAGGAACACCAGUGGCGAAGGCGACUCCCUGGACUCGAACUGACGCUGAGGUACGAAAGCGUGGGUAGCAAACGGGAUUAGAAACCCCGGUAGUCC
rnacentral:rRNA from 1 species